rnacentral:rRNA from 1 species
CGAAGCUGACGGUUACGCGCGUGAGGGAUGAAGGCCUCUGGGCUGUAAACUCUUUUAUCAAGGAAGAAGAUCUGACGGUACUUGAUGAAUAAGCCACGGCUAAUUCCGUGCCAGCAGCCGCGGUAAUACGGGAGUGGCAAGCGUUAUCCGGAAUUAUUGGGCGUAAAGCGUCCGCAGGCGGUCUUUUAAGUCUGUCGUCAAAGCGUGGAGCUUAACUCCAUUUCUGCGAUGGAAACUGGAAGACUAGAGUGUGGUAGGGGCAGAGGGAAUUCCCGGUGUAGCGGUGAAAUGCGUAGAUAUCGGGAAGAACACCAGUGGCGAAGGCGCUCUGCUGGGCCAUAACUGACGCUCAUGGACGAAAGCCAGGGGAGCGAAAGGGAUUAGAUACCCCUGUAGUCCUGGCCGUAAACGAUGAACACUAGGUGUCGGGGGAAUCGACCCCCUCGGUGUCGUAGCCAACGCGUUAAGUGUUCCGCCUGGGGAGUACGCACGCAAGUGUGAAACUCAAAGGAAUUGACGGGGGCCCGCACAAGCGGUGGAGCAUGUGGUUUAAUUCGAUGCAACGCGAAGAACCUUACCUGGCCUUGACAUAGUAAGAACUUUCCAGAGAUGGAUUGGUGCCUUCGGGAACUUACAUACAGGUGCUGCAUGGCUGUCGUCAGCUCGUGUCG